rnacentral:ncRNA from 1 species
AAAUUGGGCUGCGGGUAUCCAUGUCAGCGGAACGUCAAGUUGGUCUGCUUGGUCCGAGCUGCCUGUCACGGCGCAGCGAGGACUGAGCAGGCUGACGAGACCGGAUGCAUGACUGGAUUGAGAUUAUACCGCUUGAACCUGACCAGUGUCCAUACCUGCGGAGGGAAGCCCCCCAAAGUUACU